GACGAACGCUGGCGGCGUGCUUAACACAUGCAAGUCGAACGGAAAGGCCCUGCUUUUGUGGGGUGCUCGAGUGGCGAACGGGUGAGUAACACGUGAGUAACCUGCCCUUGACUUUGGGAUAACUUCAGGAAACUGGGGCUAAUACCGGAUAGGAGCUCCUGCUGCAUGGUGGUGGUUGGAAAGUUUCGGCGGUUGGGGAUGGACUCGCGGCUUAUCAGCUUGUUGGUGGGGUAGUGGCUUACCAAGGCUUUGACGGGUAGCCGGCCUGAGAGGGUGACCGGCAACAUUGGGACUGAGAUACGGCCCAGACUACUACGGGAGGCAGCAGUGGGGAAUAUUGCACAAUGGGCGGAAGCCUGAUGCAGCAACGCCGCGUGCGGGAUGACGGCCUUCGGGUUGUAAACCGCUUUCGCCUGUGACGAAGCGUGAGUGACGGUAAUGGGUAAAGAAGCACCGGCUAACUACGUG
rnacentral:rRNA from 1 species